CUACGUGCCAGCAGCCGCGGUAAUACGUAGGGCGCGAGCGUUGUCCGGAAUUAUUGGGCGUAAAGAGCUUGUAGGCGGUUGGUCGCGUCUGCUGUGAAAGGCUGGGGCUUAACCCUGGUUUUGCAGUGGGUACGGGCUAACUAGAGUGCAGUAGGGGAGACUGGAAUUCCUGGUGUAGCGGUGGAAUGCGCAGAUAUCAGGAGGAACACCGAUGGCGAAGGCAGGUCUCUGGGCUGUAACUGACGCUGAGAAGCGAAAGCAUGGGGAGCGAACAGGAUUAGAUACCCUGGUAGUCCAUGCCGUAAACGUUGGGCACUAGGUGUGGGGGACAUUCCACGUUUUCCGCGCCGUAGCUAACGCAUUAAGUGCCCCGCCUGGGGAGUACGGCCGCAAGGCUAAAACUCAAAGAAAUUGACGGGGGCCCGCACAAGUGGCGGAGCAUGCGGAUUAAUUCGAUGCAACGCGAAGAACCUUACCAAGGCUUGACAU
rnacentral:rRNA from 1 species